ACAACGUUCCUGUAUUGCGUGGAAAUGUCACCUCCAUGCAUCUGGGAAGAUGAAAAUCUUAUCCAAUGUUUAAAAUAUUGUUUGACAACAUUAAGGAGGUGGUUAAAGGUGCGAUAUUGCCCUCACUAUACGACGGUAAAUGUGGAUUUAUUUGCAGAGAUGAUGGGACGCCGGAUAGAGUUCCUACACAUGUUGCAAAACGAGGUUGCUGUGAGCACAAUUUUUAGCAGACACGAAAUCAAUUGUAUUCCUUGGCAGCUUGUCGCUGAGUUCUACAGAACGGUAACGGCGGAGGAUAAAGCGUACAGUCGUGAACUACAUUUACCUAUGAAGUGGAUGGACCUUGCAGUGGUUGAUGCAUUGCCAUAUAUGUAUUACCUACAGUACUUAAUAUUUCGAACUACUGGAUUAAUCAGCGACAAAGACAUUGCGUUUAAGAAUCUCCAGACUGCGAUUUUCAGAGUCCAAAACGAUCAUAUCGACACCUCAUUAAAUCUGAUAGGACAUUGUUAUGAGCUGGAAGGCAAUUUGCCAAAAGCUUGGCGUGUCUAUAAGUUUUCAGUGGAACUUAAAUCGAAGAAUAACGCAGCUUACUGGCACAUGUUUAGGAUGAUUGGGGGUCUUAUUAAUGGGCUUAGAAUGUUAUCCUGGUGACAAUCUGCUACUCAGGGUGUAAAUAUGCAUGUCAACGGGAGAACAUUUGAAUAUAUAUAAGAAUGCCUCAUAGCAGUUGUUAUCAUUUUUUUCACACUGUGGUGUUGUUUGUUCUGUCCUGUAUUUGUGCUGAUAGAUUACUUAAUCGCCUUAAAUGAAUAUUUGAGGAGCUCGUUGAAUGUUGAGGAGAGAUUUUUUCUGUGUGAUGUCUAUUUAUUGUAAAUUUUCAGCUUGACUCAUGAUUGUAGCGUGGAUGCAGGUGAACAUAUUCCUGUUCCUAUCUACCAUGUUGUUGUAUUUCAAUUUUCAGAAAGUGUUAUAGAUAGAGACAAAAUAUUUUAAUUACGUAGACCUUGUUUACGAAUAUUCUUAUAUAUUGAAUAUGUUUUUAUAUGUGUAUGUACAGUGCUUUCUUUUAAGAUCAUUCGUGGUCACUUGUGUUAGAUAUAUUAGGCCUAAGAGUAUUUCUAAUAUUGUAUAACAUGUCAGGUGGGUUCAAGAGGCAUUUGUAUUGGUGCGAGCAAUACUCAAAGGGUUUAGAACUGUAAAACUACAUUUAUUUUUCUUCUUUGUUUGCUCAUUUUCGUUUGCCAUGGUAUUCUGUAUCAAAGAAUCAACGAAAAAUGUACCAAAUAAUUAUUCUCAAUAUUCCGAAUUGCCUCAAACGUGUUCCCCUUUUUUUGAAUAACCUUUAAAUUACAAAAUCAUUCGUAUGUUCCUAAAUAUUGAUAAAGCAAGACGUAUUUGGAAUAUAUUUAUUCAUAAAUCGUUUAAUAUGACCUAAUGAUAGUAAAUGAUAUUAAACAGGUAGGAUAAAGAAAGAUUGCAAGGCUACCAACGAUGGCACAAAUAAAUAGUUAAUAGCCAUGCUGCAGUUGGGAACUGGAGAUGUUGCGAAAACGUAUGAAACAUAUGGUGUUUUUUUCAUGUAACUAUCAUAAACUGCUUACAACUAUUAAGAGCAUGUAGUAGAUCAUUUGUAAACGAACAAUAAUGAAUUUAAUUUUCUAUAAUUUCGUUUAAAUUUGAAUAACAAUUUAAUUAUCUCAAUAUGUAUUUAUUAUUUUUAUUGUAUACGUUUUUUAAUAUUGAUAAUGGAUUGUGGUUAUCGGUGCUCUUUUCAACCAAAUUUAAAAUGUUAAAUAGUUUAUUUUUGUCGGCGCCGCUUACGUUCACGCAAUAUCGCUUACAACAAAACGUGUACGUAUCGUGAAACUACAUUAAUUCCUUCUGCAAGUAUUUGUUUUCUUGUUGAAAGGAUAGUUUAUGUAACCUAAUUAUGAUCAUGAAAUAUCGAUUAUACAUUUGGCCCAUAGAAUUAUAGUUUGAAUAAAGGUUAAAAAGGCA